GCCCGGAUGGUGGAAUUGGUAGACACGCUAGCUUCAGGAGCUAGUUGGCUUACGCCAGUGCAGGUUCGAGUCCUGUUCCGGGCACCA
rnacentral:tRNA from 1 species